rnacentral:rRNA from 1 species
CCUACGGGUGGCAGCAGUGAGGAAUAUUAGUCAAUGGACGAGAGUCUGAACCAGCCAAGUAGCGUGAAGGAUGACUGCCCUAUGGGUUGUAAACUUCUUUUAUAAAGGAAUAAAACGAGGCACGUGUGCCUUUUUGCAUGUACUUUAUGAAUAAGGAUAGGCCAACUCCGUGACAGCCGCCGCGGUAAUACGGUGGAUCCGAGUGUUAUCCUGAUGUGUUGGGGUUAAAGGGAGCGUGGGUGGGGUGUGAAGUCAGGUGUGGAAGUUGAGGGGUCAACCGUACAAUGGCAAUUGAUAGUGGCAGUCUGGAGUACAGUUGAGGUAGGCGGAAUUCGUGGUGUAGCGGUGAAAUG